rnacentral:lncRNA from 1 species
UCCGCUCACUAAACUUGACACAUUCCGCUAGUUUUUUUUUCGAAAUCCUUUGAUAUCGGUAGCCGUUCUCUACCCAACGUGAUUCUCGAGAAAGUGAGGUUCUCUUCGCUGCCUCGGAUGCCGGGAGUUCUCUUGACGUUUCCGGAGUAGCUAGUUCCCGAUGAUCUCCACCAAGCUUAUAACUUUUUCUGUCUACGAAGCGCAAGAGGAUUGAAGGGGAGGUUUCAAAUACUUACCAAAGCUUUGCCUACGCCACCAAAGCUGGUUUGUAUGUAACGCUACACGACAAAGCGCAUCCCAUAUCGAGCAAAAUGUUAGUCGUAAAACAACGUUUAUUUUAGGACUUAUGACUAGGUUUGAUUCUCGUGGUCAUGGAAUGUUAUAUAAAUACGUGUAAAUAUCGGAUGCGAAGUAUCACAGUUUCAUCAGAGAUGUUUUUUUUUUUCACUAUCUGAUUUUUAUUAAAAGAACCAAGUCCGAAAAGGCAAGGUCAAGUCACCAACAUAGGAAACCCUAAACAAAAGCCCAAACCAAAGGAAAUCCACACCCAAAGCCCAAUAACAGGCAACCCAAAAAAAAAACGACACCUAAUGUCCACAACGUGUUUAACUCCAACAACGGAGUAACCACGUGUCGCCCAUGCCUCCAUCGCUUUCACCGCCUCGAGGAUCAAGGCCGGUGCGCAUCCGACGAUACACCGGAAUCCUCCAUCUCCCACCAGAGUCAUCUCGGAAACACGAAACUCCACUGUCUUUCUCGACUUCAAUCUCCUCCACCGAACCAAACAAAGCAAUUAAAACCACCAGAAUCCACCGGGAAUUCAACCACAACCACCGAGAAAGCCACCUCCAACGACUGUAUUGGAAGAUAAAGGCUUCAUCAGCUAAGUACAUACCCUGAGCUUCGGAGAGCAUCAAUCGAUUAGAACCGAGAUCUCGUCCAUACCCAUACUUGACUUCAUAAUAAAAACCAACUUUAAUCAAGAUCAAUCCUCCAAUCGAACUCGGACUGUCUGUCCGAAGAGGAAAUCAAUCGAUGGUGAGAAUGAGAGAACGAGACUAGCGGAGCUUAGGGAGCCGGGAUAAUCCCGGGAGAAAAUCAUCAACACCGCCAAAAAAAUAAAGCUGGAUGCUUCCGUCUAGAAGAUCGCGGAGCACCAGAGUCUAAGCCAGCUAUACUACGGAGGAGAUCACCGUUUACCGGAGUCAAUAUCACAGACCAGAGGGAAGGGGGAAGAAAGGAACCACCACGAUUCAGUCUUUCUCUCUCAAGGAUUCUUAAGAGAGAAGGGAGAGAGUCUACCAUUUCCCUUGAGACAAUGCAUUCAAUUAUAUCAGAGAUGUUUAUUAAUUUUAGAAGAACCAAACUAUUUUCACUGUUUCAUACCAUAGGUGUACAUAGCUAUCAAAUAAAAACAAAGAACUUUGCGAAACGAAACGUGUAAAAGAAAAAAAAUUAAAAAAAAUUGCAAAAAACUUUGCGAAACGUGACACCCUACUAAUUAAUUGAAAAUAUAGAAGCAGAACUACACGAGGCAAGUCGUGGAGCUUGCAAAUACAAACAAGACAAGGAAUUAUUUUCCGAAAUUAAAAUUUAAUUUUUUGAGAAUUUGUCU